rnacentral:rRNA from 1 species
UAAUCCACGCCGUAAACGAUGUUAACUGGGUUUUUGGGAUUUAUUUCCAGGAGCCUGAGGGAAACCAUUAAGUUAACCACCUGGGGAGUACGUUCGCAAGUAUGAAACUCAAAGGAAUUGACGGGGGCCCGCGCAAGCGGAGGAACAUGUGGUUUAAUUCGAUGAUACGCGAGGAACCUUACCCGGGCUUAAAUGUAGGUUGCAUAAACUAGAGAUAGUUUUUUCUUCACAGACUACCUACAAGGUGCUGCAUGGUUGUCGUCAGCUCGUGCCGUGAGGUGUCGGGUUAAGUCCCAUAACGAGCGCAACCCCUGCUAUUAGUUACCAGCAUGUCAUGAUGGGGACUCUAAUAGGACUGCCAUCGUAAGAUGAGAGGAAGUGGGGAUGACGUCAAAUCAGCACGGCCCUUACGUCCGGGGGCUACACACGUGUUACAAUGGCCGGGUACAGAGGGGCAGCUACCUAGCGAUAGGGAUGCUAAUCUUU